rnacentral:misc_RNA from 1 species
UAUAAGUGUUUUAUGGCACUUUUUAAAUCCAUAUCCACCUUGUGUGCAAUGUCAGUCGAUCUUCUUCAUGGAGAUCGACCAAACAUCAACCUUUAUCUUUUAACUCUUUGUCUGAAAAAUAUUAUGAAUAAACAAUUCAAAAUA